rnacentral:rRNA from 1 species
UACGUAGGGAGCAAGCGUUGUUCGGAUUUACUGGGCGUAAAGGGCGCGUAGGCGGCGCGGUAAGUCACUUGUGAAAUCUCUGAGCUUAACUCAGAACGGCCAAGUGAUACUGCAGUGCUAGAGUGCAGAAGGGGCAAUCAGAAUUCUUGGUGUAGCGGUGAAAUGCGUAGAUAUCAAGAGGAAUACCUGAGGUGAAGACGGGUUGCUAGGCCGACACUGACGCUGAAGCGCGAAAGCCAGGGGAGCAAACGGG